GUGUGAAAUGGUGGAAGGGGAGCAGUGCCUUUUGGAAAUUGAGGACACCCACAAGGUGCUGCUCCCUUUCCACCAUUUCACAC